rnacentral:lncRNA from 1 species
GAAAACAUUGGAUUUGUGAUGUAGUCACUUGCCCUCCUCUUAAGAAAGUGGGAGAGGGGUAAAACACGCUCUUCAGAGGAGCGGAAGUAACUGUACCACGAAUUCCUACCGACUAGCACAAAGCAGUACUAAUUUCAAAGUCAUAGCAUUUAUUUUCUCAAAAGACAAAUACGAUCUUUUUUUAGUGCGCUCAAUGCUUUGUGUCAAGGGAGUGAGCACGUUCUCAGAAGCAGCAUGUCAUUGAGUGCUGACUGGUUGUUAUUUUUGCUCUUCUGCCACGCUAUAUUAAUUAUGUUAACACGAUUCCUU